rnacentral:rRNA from 1 species
GAUGAACGCUGGCGGCGUGCCUAAUACAUGCAAGUCGAACGAAACUUCUUUAUCACCGAGUGCUUGCACUCACCGAUACAGAGUUGAGUGGCGAACGGGUGAGUAACACGUGGGCAACCUGCCCAAAAGAGGGGGAUAACACUUGGAAACAGGUGCUAAUACCGCAUAACCAUAGUUACCGCAUGGUAACUAUGUAAAAGGUGGCUAUACUACCGCUUUUGGAUGGGCCCGCGGCGCAUUAGCUAGUUGGUAGGGUAAAGGCUUACCAAGGCAAUGAUGCGUAGCCGAAGUGAGAGGUUGAUCGGCCACAUUGGGACUGAGACACGGCCCAAACUCCUACGGGAGGCAGCAGUAGGGAAUCUUCCACAAUGGGCGAAAGCCUGAUGGAGCAACGCCGCGUGGGUGAAGAAGGUCUUCGGAUCGUAAAACCCUGUUGUUAGAGAAGAAAGUGCGUGAGAGUAACUGUUCACGUUUCGACGGUAUCUAACCGGAAAGCCACGGCUAACUACGUG